rnacentral:lncRNA from 1 species
UCUAUUUGAUCUUCUAGAGUUUGAGCAUGGCAAAUAACUCAGGAUCAUUCAAGUCAACACCAUUGCAUGCACGAGUUGCUUGAGAAAACUUUUUUUGUUAGUCUAUUUUAUGUUGUCCUUUAAUUAUUAGUCUUGUACAGUAGUGUCGAGUCUGUCAGUCUAGAUAAGAUUGUAGAGUCUUUUGUUAUAGUACUUCUUAUAAUGUAUUUG